GUGUCAGCCGCCGCGGUAAUACCGGCAGCCCGAGUGAUGGCCGAUCUUAUUGGGCCUAAAGCGUCCGUAGCCCGCCGAACAAGUCCGUUGGGAAAUCCACCCGCCUAACGGGUGGGCGUCCAGCGGAAACUGUCCGGCUUGGGGCCGAACGACCCGAGGGGUACGUCCGGGGUAGGAGUGAAAUCCUGUAAUCCUGGACGGACCGCCGGUGGCGAAAGCACUUCGAGAAAACGGAUCCGACAGUGAGGGACGAAAGCCAGGGUCUCCAACCGGAUUAGAUACCCGAGUAGUCC
rnacentral:rRNA from 1 species